UAGGGAAUCUUCGGCAAUGGGGGCAACCCUGACCGAGCAACGCCGCGUGAGUGAAGAAGGUUUUCGGAUCGUAAAGCUCUGUUGUAAGUCAAGAACGGGUGUGAGAGUGGAAAGUUCACACUGUGACGGUAGCUUACCAGAAAGGGACGGCUAACUACGUGCCAGCAGCCGCGGUAAUACGUAGGUCCCGAGCGUUGUCCGGAUUUAAUUGGGCGUAAAGCGAGCGCAGGCG
rnacentral:rRNA from 1 species